GGUGGGAUGCAGGAGCGGUUGAACUGGCGGUCCUGGAAAGACCGUAUGGCGGCAACGUCAUCGUGGGUUCGAAUCCCACUCCCACCG
rnacentral:tRNA from 1 species